ACGUAGGCAGCAAGCGUUGUUUGGAGUUACUGGGCGUAAAGGGUGUGUAGGCGGUUCUUUAAGUUUGGUGUGAAAUCUCCCGGCUCAACCGGGAGGGUGCGCCGAAAACUGAAGGGCUAGAGUUCGGGAGAGGAGAGUGGAAUUCCCAGUGUAGAGGUGAAAUUCGUAGAUAUUGGGAAGAACACCGGUGGCGAAGGCGGCUCUCUGGACCGAGACUGACGCUGAGGCGCGAAAGCGUGGGGAGCAAACAGGA
rnacentral:rRNA from 1 species